rnacentral:rRNA from 1 species
AUUGAACGCUGGCGGCAGGCUUAACACAUGCAAGUCGAGCGGGGGAAGGUAGCUUGCUACCGGACCUAGCGGCGGACGGGUGAGUAAUGCUUAGGAAUCUGCCUAUUAGUGGGGGACAACAUCUCGAAAGGGAUGCUAAUACCGCAUACGUCCUACGGGAGAAAGCAGGGGAUCUUCGGACCUUGCGCUAAUAGAUGAGCCUAAGUCGGAUUAGCUAGUUGGUGGGGUAAAGGCCUACCAAGGCGACGAUCUGUAGCGGGUCUGAGAGGAUGAUCCGCCACACUGGGACUGAGACACGGCCCAGACACCUACGGGAGGUAGCAGUGGGGGAUAUUGGACAAUGGGGGGAACCCUGAUCCAGCCAUGCCGCGUGUGUGAAGAAGGCCUUAUGGUUGUAAAGCACUUUAAGCGAGGAGGAGGCUACUUUAGUUAAUACCUAGAGAUAGUGGACGUUACUCGCAGAAUAAGCACCGGCUAACUCUGUGCCAGCCGCCGCAGUAA